CUUCAGGGAGCCCAGCCACAGGGGGCGUUCGUCGGUGUGCUCCUGCCCGUAGGUGGUGAGCAGCGCCUGGGCCUC
rnacentral:antisense_RNA from 1 species